CGGGUGAGUAACACGUGAGCAACCUGCCCCGAAGACCGGGAUAGCCCGGGGAAACCCGGAUUAAUACCGGAUACCCUGCUCGGAUCUCAUGAUCUGAUCAGGAAAGGCUUCUGCGCUUCGGGAUGGGCUCGCGGCCUAUCAGCUAGUUGGUGGGGUAAAGGCCUACCAAGGCAUCGACGGGUAGCUGGUCUGAGAGGACGAUCAGCCACACUGGGACUGAGACACGGCCCAG
rnacentral:rRNA from 1 species